rnacentral:rRNA from 1 species
AAGUCGAACGCUUCUUUCCUCCCGAGUGCUUGCACUCAAUUGGAAAGAGGAGUGGCGGACGGGUGAGUAACACGUGGGUAACCUACCCAUCAGAGGGGGAUAACACUUGGAAACAGGUGCUAAUACCGCAUAACAGUUUAUGUCGCAUGGCAUAAGAGUGAAAGGCGCUUUCGGGUGUCGCUGAUGGAUGGACCCGCGGUGCAUUAGCUAGUUGGUGAGGUAACGGCUCACCAAGGCCACGAUGCAUAGCCGACCUGAGAGGGUGAUCGGCCACACUGGGACUGAGACACGGCCCAGACUCCUACGGGAGGCAGCAGUAGGGAAUCUUCGGCAAUGGACGAAAGUCUGACCGAGCAACGCCGCGUGAGUGAAGAAGGUUUUCGGAUCGUAAAACUCUGUUGUUAGAGAAGAACAAGGACGUUAGUAACUGAACGUCCCCUGACGGUAUCUAACCAGAAAGCCACGGCUAACUACGUGCCAGCAGCCGCGGUAAUACGUAGGUGGCAAGCGUUGUCCGGAUUUAUUGGGCGUAAAGCGAGCGCAGGCGGUUUCUUAAGUCUGAUGUGAAAGCCCC